rnacentral:rRNA from 1 species
ACGGUAACAGGAAGAAGCUUGCUUCUUUGCUGACGAGUGGCGGACGGGUGAGUAAUGUCUGGGAAACUGCCUGAUGGAGGGGGAUAACUACUGGAAACGGUAGCUAAUACCGCAUAACGUCGCAAGACCAAAGAGGGGGACCUUCGGGCCUCUUGCCAUCGGAUGUGCCCAGAUGGGAUUAGCUAGUAGGUGGGGUAACGGCUCACCUAGGCGACGAUCCCUAGCUGGUCUGAGAGGAUGACCAGCCACACUGGAACUGAGACACGGUCCAGACUCCUACGGGAGGCAGCAGUGGGGAAUAUUGCACAAUGGGCGCAAGCCUGAUGCAGCCAUGCCGCGUGUAUGAAGAAGGCCUUCGGGUUGUAAAGUACUUUCAGCGGGGAGGAAGGGAGUCAAGUUAAUACCUUUGCUCAUUGACGUUACCCGCAGAAGAAGCACCGGCUAACUCCGUGCCAGCAGCCGCGGUAAUACGGAGGGUGCAAGCGUUAAUCGGAAUUACUGGGCGUAAAGCGCACGCAGGCGGUUUGUUAAGUCAGAUGUGAAAUCCCCGGGCUCAACCUGGGAACUGCAUCUGAUACUGGCAAGCUUGAGUCUCGUAGAGGGGGGUAGAAUUCCAGGUGUAGCGGUGAAAUGCGUAGAGAUCUGGAGGAAUACCG